GAUGAACGCUAGCGACAGGCUUAACACAUGCAAGUCGAGGGGCAGCAUAGAAGUAGCAAUACUUUGGUGGCGACCGGCGCACGGGUGAGUAACGCGUAUGCAACCUACCUAUCAGAGGGGAAUAACCCGGCGAAAGUCGGACUAAUACCGCAUAAAACAGGGGCACCGCAUGGUGAUAUUUGUUAAAGAAAUUCGCUGAUAGAUGGGCAUGCGUUCCAUUAGGUAGUUGGUGAGGUAACGGCUCACCAAGCCGACGAUGGAUAGGGGAACUGAGAGGUUGGUCCCCCACACUGGUACUGAGACACGGAACAGACUCCUACGGGAGGCAGCAGUGAGGAAUAUUGGUCAAUGGGCGAGAGCCUGAACCAGCCAAGUCGCGUGAAGGAAGAAGGAUCUAUGGUUCGUAAACUUCUUUUGCAGGGGAAUAAAGUGCGGGACGUGUCCUGUUUUGUAUGUACCCUGAGAAUAAGGAUCGGCUAACUCCGUGCCAGCAGCCGCCGCAGUAA
rnacentral:rRNA from 1 species